rnacentral:rRNA from 1 species
CCGUUGUACACACCGCCCGUCACACCAUGGGAGUUGGCUUUACCCGAAGGCGUCGCGCUAACCCGCAAGGGAGGCAGGCGACCACGGUAGGGUCAGCGACUGGGGUG